GAAACGACUGCUAAGACUGGAUAGGAAACAAAAAGGCAUCUUUUUGUUUUUAAAAGACCUUCUUAUGAAGGUAUGCUUAAAGAGGGGCUUGCGCCACAUUAGUUAGUUGGUAGGGUAAAAGCCUACCAAGACGAUGAUGUGUAGCUGGACUGAGAGGUUGAACAGCCACAUUGGGACUGAGACACGGCCCAAACUCCUACGGGAGGCAGCAGUAGGGAAUUUUCGGCAAUGGAGGAAACUCUGACCGAGCAACGCCGCGUGAACGAUGAAGUAUUUCGGUAUGUAAAGUUCUUUUAUUGAAGAAGAAAAAGUAGUGGAAAAACUAUAUUGACGUUAUUCAAUGAAUAAGCCCCGGCUAACUAUGUGCCAGCAGCCGCGGUAAGACAUAGGGGGCGAGCGUUAUCCGGAAUUAUUGGGCGUAAAGGGUGCGUAGGCUGUUAGAUAAGUCUAUAAUUUAAUUUCAGUGCUUAACGCUGUCUUGUUAUAGAAACUGUUUUGACUAGAGUGAGAUAGAGGCAAGCGGAAUUCCAUGUGUAGCGGUAAAAUGUGUAAAUAUAUGGAGGAACACCAGAAGCGUAGGCGGCUUGCUGGGUCUUUACUGACGCUGAGGCACGAAAGCGUGGGUAGCAAACAGGAUUAGAUACCCUGGUAGUCCACGCCGUAAACGAUGAGUACUAAGUGUCGGGGUAAAACUCGGUACUGAAGUUAACACAUUAAGUACUCCGCCUGAGUAGUACGUACGCAAGUAUGAAACUUAAAGGAAUUGACGGGACUCCGCACAAGCGGUGGAUCAUGUUGUUUAAUUCGAAGAUACACGAAAAAUCUUACCAGGUCUUGACAUACUCUGCAAAGCUAUAGAAAUAUAGUGGAGGUUAUCAGGGAUACAGGUGGUGCAUGGUUGUCGUCAGUUCGUGUCGUGAGAUGUUAGGUUAAGUCCUAAAACGAGCGCAACCCUUGUCGUUAAUUGCCAGCACGUAAUGGUGGGGACUUUAGCGAGACUGCCAAUUAAACAUUGGAGGAAGGUGAGGAUUACGUCAAAUCAUCAUGCCCCUUAUGAUCUGGGCUACAAACGUGAUACAAUGGCUGUGACAAAGAGUAGCUGAAACGCGAGUUUUUAGCCAAUCUCAAAAAAGCAGUCUCAGUUCGGAUUGAAGUCUGUAACUCGACUUCAUGAAGUUGGAAUCGCUAGUAAUCGCGAAUCAGCAUGUCGCGGUGAAUACGUUCUCGGGGUUUGUACACACCGCCCGUCA
rnacentral:rRNA from 1 species